rnacentral:rRNA from 1 species
GGACUACUAGGGUUUCUAAUCCUGUUUGCUCCCCACGCUUUCGCACAUGAGCGUCAAUAUCGGACCAGGUAGUCGCCUUCGCCACUGGUGUUCUUCCAAAUAUCUACGAAUUUCACCUCUACACUUGGAAUUCCACUACCCUCUUCCGAAUUCAAGUCCGCCAGUCUUAAAAGCAAUUCCCGGGUUGAGCCCAGGGCUUUCACUCCUAAUUCAACGGACCGCCUGCGUGCGCUUUACGCCCAGUAAUUCCGAACAACGCUAGCCCCCUUCGUAUUACCGCGGCGGCUGGCAC